UCCUCCUUACAGAGGCAGUUUGUUUCGAGUUCCCGAAGGCACCAAUCCAUCUCUGGAAAGUUCUCGACAUGUCAAGGCCAGGUAAGGUUCUUCGCGUUGCAUCGAAUUAAACCACAUACUCCACCGCUUGUGCGGGCCCCCGUCAAUUCCUUUGAGUUUCAGUCUUGCGACCGUACUCCCCAGGCGGCGAACUUAACGCGUUAGCUUCGAUACUGCGUGCCAAAUUGCACCCAACAUCCAGUUCGCAUCGUUUAGGGCGUGGACUAC
rnacentral:misc_RNA from 1 species